rnacentral:rRNA from 1 species
UUAAGCGACUAAGCGUACACGGUGGAUGCCCUGGCAGUCAGAGGCGAUGAAGGACGUGCUAAUCUGCGAUAAGCGUCGGUGAGGUGAUAUGAACCGUUAUAACCAGCGAUUUCCGAAUGGGGAAACCCAGUGUGUUUCGACACACUAUCAUUAACUGAAUCCAUAGGUUAAUGAGGCGAACCGGGGGAACUGAAACAUCUAAGUACCCCGAGGAAAAGAAAUCAACCGAGAUUCCCCCAGUAGCGGCGAGCGAACGGGGAGGAGCCCAGAGCCUGAAUCAGUGUGUGUGUUAGUGGAAGCGUCUGGAAAGGCGUGCGAUACAGGGUGACAGCCCCGUACACAAAAAUGCACAUAUUGUGAGCUCGAUGAGUAGGGCGGGACACGUGGUAUCCUGUCUGAAUAUGGGGGGACCAUCCUCCAAGGCUAAAUACUCCUGACUGACCGAUAGUGAACCAGUACCGUGAGGGAAAGGCGAAAAGAACCCCGGCGAGGGGAGUGAAAAAGAACCUGAAACCGUGUACGUACAAGCAGUGGGAGCCUCUUAAUGGGGUGACUGCGUACCUUUUGUAUAAUGGGUCAGCGACUUAUAUUCUGUAGCAAGGUUAACCGAAUAGGGGAGCCGAAGGGAAACCGAGUCUUAACUGGGCGUUAAGUUGCAGGGUAUAGACCCGAAACCCGGUGAUCUAGCCAUGGGCAGGUUGAAGGUUGGGUAACACUAACUGGAGGACCGAACCGACUAAUGUUGAAAAAUUAGCGGAUGACUUGUGGCUGGGGGUGAAAGGCCAAUCAAACCGGGAGAUAGCUGGUUCUCCCCGAAAGCUAUUUAGGUAGCGCCUCGUGAAUUCAUCUCCGGGGGUAGAGCACUGUUUCGGCAAGGGGGUCAUCCCGACUUACCAACCCGAUGCAAACUGCGAAUACCGGAGAAUGUUAUCACGGGAGACACACGGCGGGUGCUAACGUCCGUCGUGAAGAGGGAAACAACCCAGACCGCCAGCUAAGGUCCCAAAGUCAUGGUUAAGUGGGAAACGAUGUGGGAAGGCCCAGACAGCCAGGAUGUUGGCUUAGAAGCAGCCAUCAUUUAAAGAAAGCGUAAUAGCUCACUGGUCGAGUCGGCCUGCGCGGAAGAUGUAACGGGGCUAAACCAUGCACCGAAGCUGCGGCAGCGACACUAUGUGUUGUUGGGUAGGGGAGCGUUCUGUAAGCCUGUGAAGGUGGCCUGUGAGGGUUGCUGGAGGUAUCAGAAGUGCGAAUGCUGACAUAAGUAACGAUAAAGCGGGUGAAAAGCCCGCUCGCCGGAAGACCAAGGGUUCCUGUCCAACGUUAAUCGGGGCAGGGUGAGUCGACCCCUAAGGCGAGGCCGAAAGGCGUAGUCGAUGGGAAACAGGUUAAUAUUCCUGUACUUGGUGUUACUGCGAAGGGGGGACGGAGAAGGCUAUGUUGGCCGGGCGACGGUUGUCCCGGUUUAAGCGUGUAGGCUGGUUUUCCAGGCAAAUCCGGAAAACCAAGGCUGAGGCGUGAUGACGAGGCACUACGGUGCUGAAGCGACAAAUGCCCUGCUUCCAGGAAAAGCCUCUAAGCAUCAGGUAACAUCAAAUCGUACCCAAAACCGACACAGGUGGUCAGGUAGAGAAUACCAAGGCGCUUGAGAGAACUCGGGUGAAGGAACUAGGCAAAAUGGUGCCGUAACUUCGGGAGAAGGCACGCUGAUAUGUAGGUGAAGCGACUUGCUCGUGGAGCUGAAAUCAGUCGAAGAUACCAGCUGGCUGCAACUGUUUAUUAAAAACACAGCACUGUGCAAACACGAAAGUGGACGUAUACGGUGUGACGCCUGCCCGGUGCCGGAAGGUUAAUUGAUGGGGUUAGCGGUAACGCGAAGCUCUUGAUCGAAGCCCCGGUAAACGGCGGCCGUAACUAUAACGGUCCUAAGGUAGCGAAAUUCCUUGUCGGGUAAGUUCCGACCUGCACGAAUGGCGUAAUGAUGGCCAGGCUGUCUCCACCCGAGACUCAGUGAAAUUGAACUCGCUGUGAAGAUGCAGUGUACCCGCGGCAAGACGGAAAGACCCCGUGAACCUUUACUAUAGCUUGACACUGAACAUUGAGCCUUGAUGUGUAGGAUAGGUGGGAGGCUUUGAAGUGUGGACGCCAGUCUGCAUGGAGCCGACCUUGAAAUACCACCCUUUAAUGUUUGAUGUUCUAACGUUGGCCCGUAAUCCGGGUUGCGGACAGUGUCUGGUGGGUAGUUUGACUGGGGCGGUCUCCUCCUAAAGAGUAACGGAGGAGCACGAAGGUUGGCUAAUCCUGGUCGGACAUCAGGAGGUUAGUGCAAUGGCAUAAGCCAGCUUGACUGCGAGCGUGACGGCGCGAGCAGGUGCGAAAGCAGGUCAUAGUGAUCCGGUGGUUCUGAAUGGAAGGGCCAUCGCUCAACGGAUAAAAGGUACUCCGGGGAUAACAGGCUGAUACCGCCCAAGAGUUCAUAUCGACGGCGGUGUUUGGCACCUCGAUGUCGGCUCAUCACAUCCUGGGGCUGAAGUAGGUCCCAAGGGUAUGGCUGUUCGCCAUUUAAAGUGGUACGCGAGCUGGGUUUAGAACGUCGUGAGACAGUUCGGUCCCUAUCUGCCGUGGGCGCUGGAGAACUGAGGGGGGCUGCUCCUAGUACGAGAGGACCGGAGUGGACGCAUCACUGGUGUUCGGGUUGUCAUGCCAAUGGCACUGCCCGGUAGCUAAAUGCGGAAGAGAUAAGUGCUGAAAGCAUCUAAGCACGAAACUUGCCCCGAGAUGAGUUCUCCCUGACUCCUUGAGGGUCCUGAAGGAACGUUGAAGACGACGACGUUGAUAGGCCGGGUGUGUAAGCGCAGCGAUGCGUUGAGCUAACCGGUACUAAUGAACCGUGAGGCUUAACCUU